rnacentral:rRNA from 1 species
GACGAACGCUGGCGGCGUGCUUAACACAUGCAAGUCGAACGGAAAGGCCCUGCUUUUGUGGGGUGCUCGAGUGGCGAACGGGCGAGUAACACGUGAGUAACCUGCCCUUGACUUUGGGAUAACUUCAGGAAACUGGGGCUAAUACCGGAUAGGAGCUCCUGCUGCAUGGUGGGGGUUGGAAAGUUUCGGCGGUUGGGGAUGGACUCGCGGCUUAUCAGCUUGUUGGUGGGGUAGUGGCUUACCAAGGCUUUGACGGGUAGCCGGCCUGAGAGGGUGACCGGCCACAUUGGGACUGAGAUACGGCCCAGACUCCUACGGGAGGCAGCAGUGGGGAAUAUUGCGCAAUGGGCGGAAGCCUGAUGCAGCAACGCCGCGUGCGGGAUGACGGCCUUCGGGUUGUAAACCGCUUUCGCCUGUGACGAAGCGUGAGUGACGGUAAUGGGUAAAGAAGCACCGGCUAACUACGUG